GUGAAUCAUCGAAUUUUUGAACGCAAAUUGCACUCUCUUCGGAGAGUAUGCCUGUUUGAGGGUCAGCCUAAAAAAAAUCGACAUCGUCGCUGUUUCCGCGGUGACUUUCGUCGGAAAGUGGGUCAUCUUAAACCUUUGGGCCUUAAUCGGCUUAAAAUUCUCUUUACGGAUUCUACGAACGUUUUUAAGAUUUACUUCUUACACACGCUUAAGGAAUCGAUCUUUAUUAGACGUGGCCGUUGCAUCGG
rnacentral:misc_RNA from 1 species